rnacentral:rRNA from 1 species
UGGGGAAUAUUGCACAAUGGGCGCAAGCCUGAUGCAGCCAUGCCGCGUGUGUGAAGAAGGCCUUCGGGUUGUAAAGCACUUUCAGCGAGGAGGAAGGUGGUGAGCUUAAUACGCUCAUCAAUUGACGUUACUCGCAGAAGAAGCACCGGCUAACUCCGUGCCAGCAGCCGCGGUAAUACGGAGGGUGCAAGCGUUAAUCGGAAUACUGGGCGUAAAGCGCAGCAGGCGGUUUGUUAAGUCAGAUGUGAAAUCCCCGGGCUCAACCUGGGAACUGCAUUUGAAACUGGCAAGCUAGAGUCUCGUAGAGGGGGGUAGAAUUCCAGGUGUAGCGGUGAAAUGCGUAGAGAUCUGGAGGAAUACCGGUGGCGAAGGCGGCCCCCCUGGACGAAGACUGACGCUCAGGUGCGAAAGCGUGGGGCAGCAAACAGGAUUAGAUACCCUGGUAGUCCAGCGCUGUAAACGAUGUCGAUUUGGAGGUUGUGCCCUUGAGGCGUGGCUUCCGGAGCUAACGCGUUAAAUCGACCGCCUGGGGAGUACGGCCGCAAGGUUAAAAC